GAUGAACGCUAGCGGCAGGCCUAAUACAUGCAAGCCGAACGGCAAUCCCGACGGCAACGUCGGGACUAGAGUGGCGUAAGGGUGCGUAACACGUAUGGAAUCUACCCGCAACAGGAGGAUAGCUCUCCGAAAGGGGAAUUAAUCCUGCAUAGGAUUUAGGGGCGGCAUCGCCUUUAGAUUAAACUUCAAGGUUGUGGAUGAUCAUGCGCAUGAUUAGUUAGUUGGCGGGGAAGGGCCCACCAAGACGAUGAUCAUUAGGGGAACUGAGAGGUUGAUCCCCCACACUGGCACUGAGAUACGGGCCAGACUCCUACGGGAGGCAGCAGUAGGGAAUAUUGGACAAUGGGUGAGAGCCUGAUCCAGCCAUGCCGCGUGC
rnacentral:rRNA from 1 species